rnacentral:ribozyme from 1 species
AAGGCCGCGGGGGAGGAAAGUCCGGGCUCCAUAGGGCGAAGUGCCAGGUAACGCCUGGGAGGCGCGAGCCUACGGAAAGUGCCACAGAAAACAACCGCCUAAGCGCUUCGGCGCCGGUAAGGGUGAAAAGGUGCGGUAAGAGCGCACCGCACGACUGGCAACAGUUCGUGGCUAGGUAAACCCCACUUGGAGCAAGACCAAAUAGGGUCCCAAGGCGUGGCCCGCGCUGGGACCGGGUAGGUUGCUAAA